UACGUAGGGGGCGAGCGUUGUCCGGAAUCAUUGGGCGUAAAGGGCGCGUAGGCGGCCCCGUAAGUCGGAUGUGAAAUCCCAGGGCUCAACCCUGGAACUGCAUCCGAUACUGCGGGGCUUGAGGCAGGUAGAGGAGAGUGGAAUUCCUGGUGUAGCGGUGGAAUGCGCAGAUAUCGGGAGGACCACCAGUAGCGAAGGCGGCUCUCUGGGCCUGACCUGACGCUGAGGCGCGAAAGCUAGGGUCACGAACAGG
rnacentral:misc_RNA from 1 species